rnacentral:rRNA from 1 species
AUUGAACGCUGGCGGCAUGCUUUACACAUGCAAGUCGAACGGUAACAGCACUUCGGUGGCUGACGAGUGGCGAACGGGUGAGUAAUACAUCGGAACGUGCCUAGUAGUGGGGAUAACUACUCGAAAGAGUAGCUAAUACCGCAUGAGAUCUAAGGAUGAAAGCAGGGGACCUUCGGGCCUUGCGCUACUAGAGCGGCUGAUGGCAGAUUAGGUAGUUGGUGGGAUAAAAGCUUACCAAGCCGACGAUCUGUAGCUGGUCUGAGAGGACGACCAGCCACACUGGGACUGAGACACGGCCCAGACUCCUACGGGAGGCAGCAGUGGGGAAUUUUGGACAAUGGGCGCAAGCCUGAUCCAGCAAUGCCGCGUGCAGGAUGAAGGCCUUCGGGUUGUAAACUGCUUUUGUACGGAACGAAAAGCCCUCUUCUAAUACAGGAGGGUCAUGACGGUACCGUAAGAAUAAGCACCGGCUAACUACGUG